rnacentral:rRNA from 1 species
GACGAACGCUGGCGGCGUGCUUAAUACAUGCAAGUCGAACGGUAAGGCCCUGCUUUUGUGGGGUGCUCGAGUGGCGAACGGGUGUGUAACACGUGAGUAUCCUGUCCUUGACUUUGGGAUAACUUCAGGAAACUGGGGCUAAUAUAGGAUAGGAGCUCCUGCUGCACGGUGGGGGUUGGAAAGUGUCGGCGGUUGGGGAUGGACUCGCGGCUUAUCAGCUUGUUGGCGGGGUAGUGGCUUACCAAGGCUUUGACGGGUAGCCGGCCUGCGAGGGUGACCGGCCACAUUGGGACUGAGGUACGGGCCAGACGCCUACGGGAGGCAGCAGUGGGGAAUAUUGCACAAUGGGCGGAAGCCUGAUGCAGCAACUCCGCGUGCGGGAUGACGGCCUUCGGGUUGUAAACCGCUUUCGCCUGUGACGAAGCGUGAGUGACGGUAAUGUAUAAAGAAGCACCGGCUAACUACGUG